CAUGGGGCGGGUCUAAACUCAUCUACUGCACUGUUAUAGCUGCUAUAUUCCCUGCAGCGGUGACUGUCCAACGGUGCGCAUUUUGGAGACGACUUUACGCACCAUCGGGGGAAGGGAAAAUCCAGCCGGCAUCCCCCUCCGAGCAGACACACAGUGCGCAGUUAACCCAUCAGCCUCUUAUAUGCUCUGAGUCCACACCCACAGCAACACCGGUCUGACAAGUAUGCCACUGUGUCUGCUCUUGUGACUUUCAUUCAGCUCCCUGCCAAGUGGAAACUACACCUUUGGAAGGAAUUCUCCCAACAUUGCCUAAAAAUAAACACUUGCACAAGGUCCAGUGUUGAUACGUGUGUGCUGGUGUGAGGUUUCGCGGUGUUGCAGUUACACUUGCUUAAUGCUGUUGUGUGAUUUCAUGUGGCAUUCUGGAGUCUUAAGUAUGAUUUGAUGUGUUUAGGGUGUUGUCCCGGUCGGGUACAGACUUGCCAUUUAUAUUUACAGUCCUGUGUGUUCUCUCACAUCUAUCUUUUUGCACUACAGGGUUAAAACUGUCAUCACACCGCAUCACACCACAACUCUUGUCCUCAUUGCUGAAAUACCUGAUGUUUUACAGCAUGUCAGCCAACUUAUGGUGACUAAAAGCAUCAAUCCUUAACAGUACAAUGCUUGAAUGAGUGAUGAUGAAUGACAAAUAAAGAUUAAAUACACAAACGAA